rnacentral:lncRNA from 1 species
AUUCAAAAAUGCUGAGAAAAUAGACAUAAUAAUUAGUUCACCGUGUUCGGCAACACGAAAUCCACCUAAAUAGAUUGCCCCAAAAAAAGGUCAAAAGGGAAGAAGCUCAACACCAGUAUCCCACAAAAAACCACAGCAAAAAUGAACUCCUAAAAAUAUAAUACACCAAAAUCACCUGUUGUUACUUAAAAAUCCAAUUUAAAUCCCUAUAUGUAUUUUACCUACCUCCAAAGUCAUCUUAAGCUUCACUGCUCUCAUUCUCCCUCUCUGUAAUCUGCUCUCUCCCUUUCUCACUAGUUCCCUCUCUGACUCAGAGCAACAGAAGAAGAAGUAGAAAAAUCAGCCCCUCUGU